CUUAUGUCAUGAUGUAUGCAGAACCAGGAAAACAAUAUGCCCAGCGACUACAAUAAUGUAAAUUAAAAGAACAAAAGCUUCCAAACUGAAGGCUCUGUAAUUUUAGGGAACAAGCUUGGUCUCAGAGGAAAAAUGAGAGAAUGUGUUUUUAUUUCCUUCCCUUCUUUACAGAGUUGAGGGACAAUGGAACCUUCUGCUUUCACACUGUUAAUGUGUUGAUUAAGUUUACUGAAUUGUUUUUAUUCUGCCUCUUUUUUAUUUUUAAUUACAAAAAGAUGGCUCUCUGACUAGAAGAUGGUUAUUUUCAGGAAGGAAGAGACAUAUUAUUAAAAUGAACAAUAACCACAAAGAUGUUUUGUUUUUUAAAAGAGUGAGUGGCUUCCUGUGGAAUAUGAUGUGAAGAAAUCCGAAGCAGUUAUCCUGAGUCUCAAAACUUACUGAUCCCCUUCCAAGAUACUUCAGGAUACCACACCAGACAAAGGUCAGUGGGUAUGAAGAUAAGUGCUACGAGGAAUCAAUCUUUAAACCAAGGUGAGAACAUGACGGAUACCACACCAGACAAAGGUCAGUGGGUAUGAAGAUAAGUGCUAUGAGGAAUCAAUCUUUAAACCAAGGUGAGAACAUGACAUUGGGGCUCUCAUCCAAAUGGCACAGAAUGCUUAGGAGAGAUGAUCUAUAUUAUAUAGCCUUCUGAAUAUCUUGGCUUUGUAGAACUAAUCCAAAUAUCUAGAUUGCUUAACUUUUAUUAAGGUGAAAUUAUAAGGACAUACUGCAGUUUUCUAGGUCUGGUCUGGCCCAACCUGAUUCUCUUCUAGGUUUGAGCAUCUGGUUCCCUCCUGGCCCCAAAGAUGAGAAUGGCCUCUCUGAGUUCGGACACACCCUGCAGGUUUGGGAUUCUCCCACUUGGGUACACAGCCAAGUUCAUUGAUCCCUUCCCAAAUUUCAAGCUACUCUCAGCCAAUCAGGAAGCUUUCUUAUCUCAGAGCAGUCUGUGGGUGCACUGCCCACAUUCCUUUCUCAUCACAGGCUUUGUAAUAUUCCCUCCCCCAACCAAGGGAAAACAGGGUAAAUGCAAACAGUUCUCCCGAUUCACUUGUAGGACCAGAGCAGACUCCACUUCCUUAAACAAUCGAAACAAUUUGAUUUUAAUAUUCAUAAAAAAACCCACAAGGUUACACAGCGGUUAGUUGGGAAUGUGUGACUUGAGCUAGUUUUCUGACUUUAAGUCCAGUGCCUUCUCUAGCCUAUUAGGUGGAAGGAAGGAUGGCACAUGUCUUGAUCACUUUCCAUCAUGCAAGAUAGACAUCAGGAGACAGCAGAUCCGUCCCCAACAUUACCAUCACCAUUGCUGACCCUAUCAUCAUCUUCAUUUUCAUCAUGAUAAUCAGCAUCACUGUCCCUACUCUCACCACCAUCGUUACCAGUUGCCAGUAUCAUUAACAUCAGCUUCAUCACCAUCAGUCAAAAAAUAUUUAUUAAUUUGCAGUAGCUCAAAAGAAAUAUAUUAUGCAAAAAAUGAGAGACAUCUUCAUUCCAAACAUUCUUAUAGAUUUUUUUGUGCCUGACCUAUGGUAGAGCCUUCUGAGCUUGUAUUAAUCUGAUCAGCCACAGUCAGAUACAACGUAUCUUGACCCCAAUAUAGUGUUGUCCUUUUAGUCUCCUUUGAGAACAAAUAGUAACCAAUCAACCAAACACUGAUUUAUUAUGGUAGCUGAAUAAAAGUGAGCUAAGCACUGGGGAUACAGAGAAGG